AUUUCAUAAAUUUCUUCAAACAUUUUUUUGAGAGGAUUAAUAUUCAACAGCAUAGUGAAUUGCUCAAAGGCAAAAAAAAUAUUUUAAGUUCAUUAGACCACAUUCAUUCUGUGUCAGAAACCUAUGCUGUGUCAACUUUUUAAUCACAAUCCAAAUUUAGAGCUGAAUCCAGCUUGAAUGUUGUGUCCAUACUUGCCCCAACCGUUCAGGGUUCAACCUCUGCGGUCGUAUAAAGCUGCGCCCUGCGGAGCAUCUGGUUAUCAUAUAUUUAA
rnacentral:lncRNA from 1 species